rnacentral:rRNA from 1 species
GCUCAGAACGAACGCUGGCGGCAGGCCUAACACAUGCAAGUCGAACGGAUCCUUCGGGAUCAGUGGCGGACGGGUGAGGAACGCGUGGGAACCUGCCUUGGAGUGGGGAACAACCGCUGGAAACGGCGGCUAAUACCGCAUACGCCCUGAGGGGGAAAGGCUUUUCGAAGCCGCUCUGAGAGGGGCCCGCGUCCGAUUAGCUAGUUGGUGGGGUAAGAGCCUACCAAGGCAUCGAUCAGUAGCUGGUCUGAGAGGAUGAUCAGCCACACUGGGACUGAGACACGGCCCAGACUCCUACGGGAGGCAGCAGUGGGGAAUUUUCCGCAAUGGGCGAAAGCCUGACGGAGCAACGCCGCGUGAGGGAUGAAGGCCUCUGGGCUGUAAACCUCUUUUAUCAAGGAAGAAGAUCUGACGGACUU